rnacentral:rRNA from 1 species
UACGUAGGGUGCGAGCGUUAAUCGGAAUUACUGGGCGUAAAGCGUGCGCAGGCGGUUUUCCAAGACCGAUGUGAAAUCCCCGGGCUCAACCUGGGAAUGGCAUUGGUGACUGGAAGGCUAGAGUGUGUCAGAGGGGGGUAGAAUUCCACGUGUAGCAGUGAAAUGCGUAGAGAUCGGGAGGAACACCUGUGGCGAAGGCGGCCGACUGGGCCGACCCUGACGCUGAGGCGCGAAGGCGUGGGGAGCGAACGGG